UUGCUACUGGGGUUGCAAGGAUGUGGGGAUGUAGGUCACCAGCAUUUUUCUACGUCUCAACUUAAGCAUAAUAGGCUGAACUCCUUGUCAUUGAGUAUUUUCCUGAUUUCCAUGGACUUUUUAUUAAGUUACAUAACAUUUCAGUGAGGGAAUAUUUGUUGAUUUUAGAUGGGGUUUUUUGGGCUUAUGUGGCCAACAAGUCGUUUCUUCUUUAUAGGCGGUGGAUACUGUCCCCACAAACUCUACUCGUUUCUCAGUUGUAACUGUUGGUUUGAAACAUAUCUCCUUUACUGCAUGUGCAAAGGUCUUUGAAAUUACCCCCUACCUCUCAUAAACGCUAUCACGUCAACCACUCACGGAAGCUGAACCUAAACACCACAUUCAACGUUCAUCAUCAGCAGCGCGAGGCGAUUCUGAUGCUCCAUGGACGCUCACAUCUACAAGGAAAUAAAUCACAACCAAGUUCGCUCUUAACAACUGUUUAUGCAAAGCCAAGGGACAGGGAGGUCAAUGAGUUCGAGACUUGGGUUUUGAGCGGGACGAGUACUGGACAUUGGAUGUGGGAGUCUGAAAGUCUGUGGCGAGGAGAGGGGAGCAUCAUGACCUCGCGAAUGAACCCAGCAGUGCUCAUGAUGGGAGCAAAACUCCUGCUCAUGAUCUCUUUACUGCACAAGUCGUCUCUCGCCAAGGAGUGUGGUGAUGGAUUCUAUAAAUCACAACGAGGCGUCUGUUGUGAGCUGUGCCCUGCAGGGACAUACAAGAUGUUUGACUGCAUAGCUGAUAAAGCGAGAGCCGCGUGUGAUCUAUGCCCUGAGGGCAGCUUCAUGACCAGAGACAACCAUGAGGAGACGUGUGCACAGUGCAGCAGCUGCGGACCAGGUAAAUAACUGCACAGCAAGUAGGUUACGGCCAUAUCUGCAUUGUUUGUUUUUGAGAUUCAUCUGUUUGUGUGCUUCAAAUUCCAAUUGUGUAUUUAGCAUCUUAGAAUAAGGCAAAUAAGUUAUAUUUGGAGUGCACAGUGAAAAAACAAACCAGAAUAUCAAACAAACCAGGAUACCAGCAGUGUCGAUAUCCUGGUUUGUGAAUCUGCAAUAAUUAAUAAUUUCCUGGCAAUUGCAAAAUUAUCAGGCAUGUUCCUGAUCUCAUCAGAUAUCAGAAACUAAACAAGGUUCAACCUGGAGUAUCCACUGUGCAUAUAACUUGUAAUAGAGAACGCUAC